AGAGUUUGAUCAUGGCUCAGGAUGAACGCUGGCGGCGUGCUUAACACAUGCAAGUCGAACGGACUUUACAUGAAGCCUAGCGAUUGUAAAGUUAGUGGCGGACGGGUGAGUAACGCGUGAAUAACCUGCCCCUGUACCGGGGGACAACAGUUGGAAACGGCUGCUAAUACCGCAUAAGCGCACAGUUCCGCAUGGAACAGUGUGAAAAACUCCGGUGGUACAGGAUGGAUUCGCGUCUGAUUAGCCAGUUGGUGGGGUAACGGCCUACCAAAGCAACGAUCAGUAGCCGGCCUGAGAGGGUGAACGGCCACAUUGGGACUGAGACACGGCCCAAACUCCUACGGGAGGCAGCA
rnacentral:rRNA from 1 species